rnacentral:tRNA from 1 species
UGGCUCAGAUGGUAAAGAAUCUGCCUGCAAUGCAGAAGGCCCAGGUUUGAUCCCUGG